rnacentral:lncRNA from 1 species
GGUUUAGGGUUUUCUUUUAUUUAGUGAUCAAAAAUGAGGGAGUUAAAAAUUAAAAACAUAUUGUUCCACGCACAAGGUGUCAAGCUGCAAAUUCAGAAGUCCUACAUAGAAUUUCGAGAGAUUUACAUACACUGUACUGGGUUUGCACAGGUAAGUACAGAAGUGCACAUAAAACAGAUGCGUAAAUCACCAGUCAGAAGUCUAGCUGUGCACUUUCAUGCUGGAUUAACUCCAUUUCAACACACAAUCAUAGUAAUUACGCGAACAAAGCACACUACUGCAUGUGCAUUUUUUCCAAGGCUCUGGAUUAUUCUUAAGUUCAUAAGUCCAAGAGAGAACCAUAAACUACUACAGGCAUGAUGAAAGAGAGAAAACACAACAAAACCAAGACGAAGAUAUAUAUUCAUUAACAUUGUACUUGAAAUGUGCAGGCACUCUUACUCUGUCUUCCUUUUUUGGCAACUGAUCACUGAUAAGUGCUUUGGUUCGCCUCAGAAACCAGCCAGACAUUUUUCUUGCUAGCUCCACCAUGGCCUUACGACCUGUUGCUAGCUCUCUUUUAGUUGCAGUGUGCCUCUGGCCAUGCUCCACUGGAUCAGAAAACUUCUUCUUGAAGUGUGCUCUGCUACCCAAAAGUCCUGGUACAGCCCUAUAAAAAACCAAAAGGAUGUGGGGGGUGGAGUGUGUGCGAAGCAGUAACAGCAUUUUCUUUACUCCAAGGCAGUCUUUCCUUUUCUGUUAAUUAAAAGCAUACCAUAAAUUGUUUCUGGAUAACAGCAAGAGCUCUUAGAAAAAUGAAUAAAAAUUGUGUAUAUAGAUAGAAACAUAUACUACUUCCAGAUAUGCCAUUUUUUUAAUCUACUUUCUGUGACUCCCAAACAUUAAGAGAUUCCCCUUUAGAAAGGGGUUGCUAUCUCCAGAAAAAUCUUUGUUUUUGUUUUAGCUCAGCAGACUAACAGAAGUCACAAGAAUAUAGAACCUCUAAACUACAAGACCACUGCUGUUCUGGAGCCUGAACCUGAAGCUAAACAGUCAUGUUCUCAAUUUUUACUGUUUUUAUUAAAAUCAGGUUAUGCAGAUAUUACAAUUUACUAAAUAAAAUCUUAACAAACCCAACAGCAAAAAGAGUUUAGUAAUCACUGGCAGCUUUAUAUAUUGGAACAAUUUAUUAACAACAUCAGCAUAGUUUUAAUGGACCAGAGGCAACACUAAGCUUACUGUUAAAAUAUUUUUUUCCCCAUAUUUCAAUUCAGGCUAUAUAUCCCUAUAUUUAAGGUAUGUUUGCUCUGUUCCUCCUCUGUAGAGCAUCCCCAGAAAGUCUCCUAUGUUUCAGUUUCUAUCUAGGGUUAGUUCCACCCCUCCCUCUUCAUUAAAAGAUUUCCUGGACAAGACUAUUGCUUUGCAACUAUGUGCAUUUUGGAAAACGGCAAAAUAUCAUGACUUUCAUCUUCUAAAUAAGUCAGAAUGACCUGCAUAUAUUGGACAGCGCAAAGGCACAACACUGUUCAAACUUGUGUAAUGAUUCUCCAUCUACUCUGUGGAGGUCAGAGGAAAAAGAAGAAAAAGGUCUGUCCUUGGAAAAGAAAGGUAAACAUGGGGGGUAGGAAGGGGAUGGGUAGCAUUUUAACUGCUUCCCAAAUUCUCCAAAGAAGCCAGAUAGGAGGAGCUCCAAAUGUAUUAAACAAUGGAAAAAUUCAUAGCAGGAGCUUAACUCUGCAGAUGCAUUGGAAAAACAUACUUAUAUACUGACAAAACAUUGGGUUUUUUGGGAGAGGGUUAUGAUUUGUUUUUGGGUUUUCUGACACAGAUGAGUCCGUAUCAUCCAUCUCUAUCCCCGCCCCACUACAUGGUUAACAUACAGAGGUGUUUGUCCAUAAAAAUAAAAAAAAAAAAAAGAUACUUUACUUACCAGUCCAUAACACACCAAAGUUCCUUCAUAUCGUUCUGAAGAAUGGUUCCAGUAAGGCCAAUGCGAACACUGCAUUUUAAUGACUUCAUGGUUUGAGUUAUUUGAGCCUUUGGAUUCUUGAUUCUGUGUGCUUCAUCCACUAUUACAGCAGACCAUUCUACACUGCAGAUCAACAAGAAAUACUGUAUUAACUGAAACUACUUAUCUCAUCAUUCUACAUGCACAUAAACAGUGAUGUCAGCCACACAAGCAGCUGUGAUUAUUAUAAGACAUUAUUACUUUUUGAUUUUCCUGUUCUACAUUACAUUACACUACUCAGUUUCUCCAUAUUGUGUUUGUUUAAUACAUUCAACCGCCAUAGUUGAAUAUAACAGCUAAACUACAUAGCCAAAUAAAUGAACUAAUGCUAGAAGUAUCAAAUGUUUUCUGCGAAGAAAGCAGCUUUCACUAUCUGGAACAAUCAAUCCAGCACAUCUCACCAGGCACUAAUUUUGCUCAUAAGUAAGAGUUAGAAAAAUUAAACCUCUGAAGGUAAACUACUGAAACAUGCUUAACACAGGUAUGCUUCAUUUUCCCAAUAAAAACUAUCCAGUGUAACUAGAAGUACACUUAAAGCACUUCAGUUUGCAUGGUUUCCUACAUGAAAGCAUCACGGAACUUCUUUAGUAUCUGUAUGCUAUCAAUAUGGCAGAGGAGUUUAAAUAUUUUGUGAUUUUGUGACUAGGAAAGCCAUAUUUGGAAGAAGGGACUGAAAGGUAUUUUGCAGCCAGCUCAAGCAUAAACUUGGAGGUAGAAUGACCAGUAUGUAUACUGUGAUACUAAUUUAAGUCAUCAAGUACCUAGGAAGAGAUCUGUUAACUUUAUGAGAUUGCUUUAUAUAUAUGAAUGCAUAUUUCAUAACAAAAUCAUAUCCACCUCAAUGAUACUUCAGACUGCAAAAGCUGAAACAGACAUGUUUAGGAAGAAACCUCUCUCCUGAACAGGCUGCACUUAGUUCAUUAAUCUGAAAGCCAAUCUUGCGGCAUUUUUGAUGCCUGUUAAAUACAUUCCUUCAUAUCUGAGCUCCUUAUGUUCCUAAUAUCUGCUAAAAAUUGGAGUUUCUGAAAAGGGUCCAACAAACAACCAUACACUAGCUCCUUCAACUUAAUCACUCAUUAUGCAGAUGUACAUGCAUAAUAAUUGAUCCCAUGUAUUCUUCUCAGCAACACUUAAUUACUUAAGACCAGUUGAGACCAAACCAUCAUUCUAGUUAAGCAAGACACAUAGCCUCUUCCAGCGUCAAGCUCAUAGGUUCAUCCAGUCACAGGCUCUGUAGAAACAGAGUAUGGGUAAAUCUGCAUGCUGCAGCAAUGUAUUUGCAAGCAGUCAGUCAGAUCUGCUCUGCAUAUAUACCUAUUCCCUGAACGUAGCCAAAGGAAAGGCAAAACUCCUAGUUUGAAAAUGCUGACAGUCAUGGAGCAAAUAAAGCAGCAUGUCUAAUACCUCUGCUGUCAGAAAGACCUUGAUUCUGCUAAGUCCACCAGGUAUUUAUACACACAAAUAUACAUCUUGUAUCUCAAGGUUUUUAGACCUCAAGAAUUUCUUCAAGCUGGUGAAAAAUGCAAAUUACAAGGAAAAUGCACCUUUUGAGCAUUUGCUAAAGAAUUCCAGAUUAAUUUUUUU